rnacentral:rRNA from 1 species
UACGUCGUAGAUGAGUAUCACCACUACCCGUUCUUCGUGGCACCAGGUCGACUACCACAGCGCCAAGACGAGCCCGCGGUAGCGGACUUCCAGCGACAACGGCCACACCAGAGCGGCGGUACCUAUGGUCUCCUCCUUCUCCGCGAGAAGGUACAGCCGAUGUCCUCUUUCUCCUCCUCCUCCGCGAAGAGGCCGGUCUGGGCCCCAGCCCCGGCCGUGCGGUGUCCGUAGAUGCGGAUGCUGGUGCUGGUGUGCGUGCCCGACUGCGACGACUACUUCUACGCAUGGGAAUCGGUGCUUAAACAGGGGCUAGGGUAGGUACGUCCACCCGAAGCGACGGUACCUUACUGUGGAGACUAGAGGGUACAUCUACUCGAGCCCAAGUACCUUCGGUACAGGUAUUUCGUUUGACUCACGAAGCUUCCUCCUAAACGUUUUCUACUCUAAAGUUUACCGAACUUAUCCUUCUCUACGUCUAGUAAUAAGACCUGUCUAAAUGGUUAAUCUUCUUGGUAUAGAAGGGGCGCUCCGCGAUGUCUAGUGUACCCGUGACAGUACUUCCGGCGCUUCCGCACCGGCCGCCGUACCCAAUCGGACACCCACCAUGGUGGUACGACGAGAGCUGCACGUAACACCACGACGAGCACCGCCGAAAGCCUCCCUCUGUUUCACGUAAUACGAAAGUCACGAUGUCUGAAACCUUUGACCACAAGAUUGCAAUCAAGGCUGUUCUCCCGGUGAUAUUGGUGGUAGACCAGUCUCAAAGCAGCGACGCGGUUGUAAGCACUUCCUCUGCAGACACGUAAGGUAAAGUCCUAGUGAAGUUUCGCGACGGACCAAAAGUGGCACGUGGCGGAGAUC